AUAUCUCUCCCUCUCUUUUCUCUCCCUCUCCCUUUCCCCUUCUUCCCCAAAUCAUCAAAUCCCUAACUCCCCUCUCUCCCUCUCUCUCUCUCUCUCUGUGUGUGUGAAGUACUCUCGCUGUCCAUAAUCGAUUCGCCGCGCCUCCUGUUGUAGCCGCUGCCGCUGUCGCUGCCGCUGCCUCCGCCUCCGGUUGCCACCGCUGCAAAAUCUGCCUCCGCCUUCGCUGCCUCAAAGAAGGCAAAUGAGACAACAAGACUCUAAAGGAAACAAUUGCUAUCUUGGAGUACAUGAACAGUUUUAUGACUAUAUAUAUAGUGUUUUGUUGUAUAUUUUUGAAUAGUAUAUAUGAUUGUUAAAAUGUUACUUUUAAUUGAAUAUUUUUUUUGGUGUAAAUUUUUGAAUAGUAUAUACAAUUGUCAAAGUGUUAUUUUUAGUUGAACAAAUUCUUUGGUGUAAUUUGUUGGCAAUUAACACUUAUAUAUAUACUACUUUUGGUGUGUAAA